ACUCUUGUAAUACAAGGUCACCCCCCGCGUCCGGAUUUUUUUUAUCGUUCUUACAGUCCAAAAUGGUCAAGGUUUUUAUUGUUCUUCUAAGUUUUAUUAAUGGAGCUUUGUCCGUGGGACCAAGAUGUCUAGGUUGUACUGGAGUACCACUGUUGACAGAUUGUAACAACAUCAUAGAGUGUGGAAAUGGCGAGGCGUGUUAUACACAAAAGAUCACCACUGACGCAGCGACUAUAGUAUACGAUGCAGGCUGUCUUAGUUUACAGGUUUGUAACGUCAUUAGUACCAUCGGAAAGAAUACCGGGUUAGGAAAACGAGACGUUACCAACUGUUAUGAAUGCUGUCCGGAAACCAAUCAUACCCUGACCACUCCGCCAUGUAAUGCAAAGCUGUGUGGAAUCCAUGAGCGCUCGGAACCAAAGUGCUACAUGUGUGAUGACGUCAUGAAGCCGGAGAAUUGUAGGACCACUGGGUAUUGUGAUUUAGAUGAGCAAUGUUUCACAGAAAAAUUAACCAAUCACGCUACAGGAGAGAUUCGAUAUAAGCUUGGAUGUCAACGGAAGGCGGUUUGUGCUAGUCUCGCAAUGUAUCCCACGCUUCCUAACUCCGGAAGUUGUAACGAAUGUUGUGAUGAAAACUACUGUAACAUUGGAUUGUGUAAACAAUCAAUAUUAGGAAAACCUCAUUUUACCUCAACCCCUGGGAAUUUCACAGUGGAUUCACAGACUAGUGUCACGCUGACCUGUUCUGUGGACCCUACAUCUCAGGCAACUAUCAAAUGGUCGUUUGAAUCGCUUUUAGGUCCACAGCUUGGCGUGAGUCCAAACGGCAUAACGUUGGGCAACCAAACUUCUUUGACUUUGACGGCGGACGUAACGUCGUUUGGAGCCUACACUUGUACAGCAACUAAUACCAAUGGUUUUGUGACGGCAAAAGGAUACCUAUCACCCAAAAUUCCUAUUACAACCCCAACAACAACUACAAUAACCACGCUCACAACAACAACGACCACUCCCACUACAACAACGACCACGCCCACAACAACAACCACGCCCACUACAACAACGACUUCGCCCACUACAAGAACGACCACGCCCCAACAACGACGACCACGCCCACAACAACAACGACCACGCCCACUACACUUUCUACUACAGAUCCGUGUCCCAAUGGAUGCUGUGACACUGACCCAAAAUGUCGUGUUUUUAAUUUUAUUGCUACGGCAUGCCUACAUCAUGGGACAGCGUCGCUAUGUCCAUAUAUCUGCGGUCUCUGUUCCCAGACGAUAACGACAACACGCGCUCCCUGUAAACCGGACACUGAUCCCAGGUGUCAUGACUUUACCUAUCUAGUUACUGCAUGCAUAGAUAACGAACAAGCGAAAAUAUGUCCCAAGAUGUGUGGUCUUUGUUGAUAUAUUUAGAAUAAACGUAACAAAACCAGAUGUUCAUACAUU
rnacentral:misc_RNA from 1 species